rnacentral:rRNA from 1 species
CGGAGGGGGCUAGCGUUGUUCGGAAUUACUGGGCGUAAAGCGCACGUAGGCGGACUGGAAAGUUGGGGGUGAAAUCCCGGGGCUCAACCUCGGAACUGCCUUCAAAACUAUCAGUCUGGAGUUCGAGAGAGGUGAGUGGAAUACCGAGUGUAGAGGUGAAAUUCGUAGAUAUUCGGUGGAACACCAGUGGCGAAAGGCGGCUCACUGGCUCGAUACUGACGCUGAGGUGCGAAAGCGUGGGGAGCAAACAGGAUU